UACGUAGGGUGCAAGCGUUAAUCGGAAUUACUGGGCGUAAAGCGUGCGCAGGCGGUUUUGUAAGUCAGAUGUGAAAUCCCCGGGCUUAACCUGGGAACUGCGUUUGAAACUACAAGGCUAGAGUGUGGCAGAGGGGGGUGGAAUUCCACGUGUAGCAGUGAAAUGCGCAGAGAUGUGGAGGAACACCGAUGGCGAAGGCAGCCCCCUGGGUUAACACUGACGCUCAGGCACGAAAGCGUGGGGAGCAAACAGG
rnacentral:rRNA from 1 species